rnacentral:rRNA from 1 species
CCUACGGGAGGCAGCAGUAGGGAAUCUUCCACAAUGGGCGAAAGCCUGAUGGAGCAACGCCGCGUGGGUGAAGAAGGUCUUCGGAUUGUAAAACUCUGUUGGUAGAGAAGAAAGUGCGUGAGAGUAACUGUUCACGUUUCGACGGUAUCUAACCAGAAAGCCACGGCUAACUACGUGCCAGCAGCCGCGGGAAUACGUAGGUGGCAAGCGUUAUCCGGAUUGGUUGGGCGUAAAGGGAACGCAGGCGGUCUUUUAAGUCUGAUGUGAAAGCCUUCGGCUUAACCGGAGUAGUGCAUUGGAAACUGGGAGACUUGAGUGCAGGAGAGGAGAGUGGAACUCCAUGUGUAGCGGUGAAAUGCGUAGAUAUUAGGAGGAACACCAGUGGCGAAGGCGGCUUACUGGACUGUAACUGACGUUGAGGCUCGAAAGCGUGGGGAGCAAACAGGAUUAGAUACCCGUGUAGUC